rnacentral:rRNA from 1 species
AAACCGUUCAGGGGUAAACCUGAGAAACCCAAAAGAUCGAAUGGGGAGAUUCAUCGUCGACGAGGUUGGCUUCCGUUGGUGCGCAGAUACCCCGAACUGAUGUACGUCUGUGCACAGUGCGAGGGUACACCAUCUUCGGAAAAUGUUCCGACCACGUAGUCGUGCACUUCUCCCUUAGUAGAACGUCGCGACCCGUUGCGUGUCGGUCUACGGCCCGAGUUGUUGCCUGUCGUGUCGCCUCGCGCGUACACGGUAGACGCUCGAUCGCCUGGCCGGCUGCGUGACGGUACUCUGACGGUAUCGGGCCGCAACCAAUCCAUUCUCGAAUGUGUGUGCGUCAGGCCCGCCGCAAGCUCGGUUAUUUUUACCCGGAGGUCAGCGGAACUGGUGCUGGCUCCGGGCAUAACCAGCUGUUAGCAGGCGGUGUCCUCGGACUGGCCAAGCUUUGAAUUACCGGUCAGCGACGCUACUGCUUUGGGUACUCUCAGGACCCGUCUUGAAACACGGACCAAGGAGUCUAACAUGUGCGCGAGUCAUUGGGACAUGUAAACCUAAAGGCGCAAUGAAAGUGAAGGUCGUACCUUAGCGUCGACCAAGGGAGGAUGGGCCGCGUUACGAUGCGGCCUCGCACUCCCGGGGCGUCUCGUUCUCAUUGCGAGAAGAGGCGCACCCAGAGCGUACACGUUGGGACCCGAAAGAUGGUGAACUAUGCCUGGUCAGGACGAAGUCAGGGGAAACCCUGAUGGAGGUCCGUAGCGAUUCUGACGUGCAAAUCGAUCGUCGGAACUGGGUAUAGGGGCGAAAGACUAAUCGAACCAUCUAGUAGCUGGUUCCCUCCGAAGUUUCCCUCAGGAUAGCUGGCACUCGCUCGUUCUCUUUGGUGAACGUUUGCGAGUCUCAUCUGGUAAAGCGAAUGAUUAGAGGCCUUGGGGCCGAAACGACCUCAACCUAUUCUCAAACUUUAAAUGGGUGAGAUCUCUGGCUUGCUUGGAUCAAUGAAGCCACGAGAUUUUUUGGAUCAGAGUGCCAAGUGGGCCAAUUUUGGUAAGCAGAACUGGCGCUGUGGGAUGAACCAAACGCAGAGUUAAGGCGCCUAAGUCGACGCUUAUGGGAUACCAUGAAAGGCGUUGGUUGCUUAAGACAGCAGGACGGUGGCCAUGGAAGUCGGAA